rnacentral:rRNA from 1 species
GAUGAACGCUGGCGGCGUGCUUAACACAUGCAAGUCGAACGAAACACCUUAUUUGAUUUUCUUUGGAACUGAAGAUUUGGUGAUUGAGUGGCGGACGGGUGAGUAACGCGUGGGUAACCUGCCCUGUACAGGGGGAUAACAGUCAGAAAUGACUGCUAAUACCGCAUAAGACCACAGCACCGCAUGGUGCAGGGGUAAAAACUCCGGUGGUACAGGAUGGACCCGCGUCUGAUUAGCUGGUUGGUGAGGUAACGGCUCACCAAGGCGACGAUCAGUAGCCGGCUUGAGAGAGUGAACGGCCACAUUGGGACUGAGACACGGCCCAAACUCCUACGGGAGGCAGCAGUGGGGAAUAUUGCACAAUGGGGGAAACCCUGAUGCAGCGACGCCGCGUGAGUGAAGAAGUAUUUCGGUAUGUAAAGCUCUAUCAGCAGGGAAGAAAAUGACGGUACCUGACUAAGAAGCCCCGGCUAACUACGUG